UGUUGAGACUUUUUUUUCUCCUAGAUAACUUUCUUCUCUACCUUGUCAUCUUCAUCCUUAGUUUCCACCUCAUCCUCCUCAUAAACAGUGCUCAAUUACACCCCAAUGCUUAAUUACUUCCCGAUGUCAUCACUACUUCCACUGCUUAAUUACAUCCCACUUCCAUCCACUGCUUCCAAAUUCCAAUACAGUGGUAUAGUUAUAGAAUUUGUUUGUUUUGGCUUUGAGGGUGAGGUUAAAUAGUACGAGUUCAAGAUUGUUUUGGUACUCACUUCCUCGAAUGUAAUGCCCGGUUUAACCGGGCAGGCCAAUUUCAUAGCAGUAGCUCUGUAAUCUCAGUAGAAGCAGAUUUGAAAACAAGGGCUGAAAGACAGAGAAACGAAAUUCUUACAGGAUACAAGCAGACACAACUCUAGCAAUUUUCAUUUUGUAAUUCAUUUUAUUUUUUUAGUUUUCUGGUGGAAUGACUCUUCUAUGGCUUGUUCAUGGUUGAUGAAUCUUACCCAUAUUUGAGCACUGUUUAUGAGGAGGAAGAAGUGGAAGCUGAUAUGAAGAUGACAAGGUGAGCGAUUUGGAGUCCGGAGUUCAAGCUCAAAGUAACGAAUGCAAGCUAAUUUGCCAUAAAACCUUUGCAAAGCAUAAGCAGCUAUCCUACACCACACCCUUCUCUAACCUACACCACACUAACUGCAGCCCACCAACGCCACCACCCACGCUGCUCCGCCAACAAACACCACCAAAAUCCCUCCUCUCACCUUCAUCUAUUCACCAACAACAGUACAACACACAACAACAAAAACACAACCAAAAACUCAAUCAAAAUCGAACACAGAAAACAGAGCAAAAACAGAGUAAUUGGUUCGUUCGAACCCGUAAAUUCGUUCGACCGAACUGAAAAUUUAGAGUUCCUGAUUGUAUGAGGUUCGGUCGAACCUCAAUGGAGUUCGCCCAAACCGACAAAAGUUCGCCCGAACAUCGCAAGUGUUCGCCCGAACCUAUUUAGCGCUCAAAUGGGUACGGAAUUAAUGAUUGCACGUGACGGUGGUGGUGCUAGUUUCUUGGAUUACCGCCGUACAACCCGAAUUGGAAGGCUACGAUUGACGAUUGACGAUUGAGUUGUUAUUUGGGUUGCUCGAUUGAAGGCUGUGAUUUGAGAUGAUGAUGAUUGGUAAUGAAGAUCGAAGGUGAUGAUUGAAUGAUGAUGGAUGAAGAUGACUAAAGAUUGACGGUCGAUGAUGAUGAUUGACGGUGGCUGAUGAGGUGAGGGUGCAGGUGACGAGAUGAGGGGGCGGAGCGAAAGGGAUGAAGUAACGAAAAGGGGGGGUCUGAUGUUUGGAUCGAAAAGGAAGGGGGAUGGAGUAUCUGAUUGUUUUGGUGGGGAUUCCUCCUUUUUCUUUUUCUUUUUCUUUUUCUUUUUAUUUUUUUCUUUUUCCUUUUUCAUUUCUUUUAAUUCUUUUAAUUCUCUUACUACUUACUUCUUCCUUUUUCCUUUUUUUUAAGAUUUUGUUUUUAAUUUUUAUUUCAUUUUUUUUCUCUUUUAUUUUGAUUUUAGGCCUUGAGUAUAAAUCCUCAUUUUGGGUCAUGAACUUCAUUAGAAUGUAAAAUAAUUUUGAGUUUAGUUCUUCUUUUCUCUUAGGGUUUAGGGUUUUAGUUUAGUUUAGCUUUUUGAGAGAGAAAGUGAGAAAUUAAAGAGGGGUUUUGGGAAUUUAAUGUUCAAGGUGACAAAUUGGCUUGUGGAUUUCCAUCAUCAAUCAAUGAGCAAUUUCUUA